UACCAGCACCCCGAGUGGUCGGGACGAUUAUUGGGCCUAAAGCAUCCGUAGCCGGUCCUACAAGUCUUCCGUUAAAUCCACCUGCUUAACAGAUGGGCUGCGGAAGAUACUAUAGGGCUAGGAGGCGGGAGAAGCAAGCGGUACUCAGUGGGUAGGGGUAAAAUCCUCUGAUCCAUUGAAGACCACCAGUGGCGAAGGCGGCUUGCCAGAACGCGCUCGACGGUGAGGGAUGAAAGCUGGGGGGAGCAAACCGG
rnacentral:rRNA from 1 species